AGAUGAUGAAUAGAGCGAAGUAAUCUGAGGACUAAUGAUAUAUUUCAUCCGGUGAAAGGGCAAUUGAUGUCUUAGGAAGACAUUUGAUAUGUAAAAGGAAAAAUAAAUAAAGAAGGCCACUUUCAUUAUGAUGCCAGGAAUGAGUGGCAUUUGAAAUAAAAAAAUAAUAAUAAAGUAGGCUAGCCCACCAUUCCUUGUUUUAUGCAUCCCUUGUUUUGUGCAUUUAGUCAUCAUAACCUUGUGUUGUGCACGUUAUAUUCCAAAAGGAGGAAAAAAGUAGAAGGAAAAAUAUUGUUCUGUGCAAGAUAUAUUACGAAAUAAAGAGGAAAAAAUAGAAGGAAAAAUUAUUCACUUAUUUCUAACCUAGAGGGGAGAAAAAGGACGAACAGAAGGAGCUUUGUCAAUUAAUGUUGAAGGAGCAGUGAAGCUUUAUUUUAUUUCCACAAAAUACAAAGGCAAUCAGAUUUUGAUCGUUCAGAGGCUCUAUGCAAAGGGAAGACAUUAGUUUGAUUGUUUGUGGCACCCGCUCGACAUUGAGAGUACGAUCCAGGUUCCAGUUCUACACCCCGUGGCUGAUACGCGAGGGUGACAUCUUUCAGUCAUUCAGGGUGAGCUACUUGGUCAUCCGUGGCCCCUGAAGGACCUCCUCUAUUUAUUCUGUUUUUGUAUUCUACAGACAAUAUGUAGCCUUCUGGCAUUUUCAGACUUCUAUUCGGUAAUAUGUUAGCGCUCUUGUACCCUUUGACCAGAUUUUUGGGGUUGUCGUGACAUUUCUAGUUAUGAUAAGUAUUUAAGACUUGAUAACUUAUUCUUAAAUUAAUUUUUCGCUUAUUUAACUUGUUAUUAGUAAUGUGGUUCGCCUACUCGGAGGGAUAGUGUAGGUGCCACCACGACUCGCGAAAUUGGGUCGUGACAAGGACACACACAUUCAACCCAUUUUUUUCCUCCAUUAACACACACACACACAUUUAACCCAUUUUCUUCCUCUAUUAACAACACACAUUCAACCCAUUUUUUUCAACCCAUUUUCUUCCUCCAUUAACACACAAACAUUCAACCCAUUCUCUUCCUCCAUUAACAUACACAUUCAAUUUAAUCAUCAAUUAUAAAGAGCUUAUUUUCAAGAAACAUUCAACCCAUUUUCUUCCUCC